AGAUUGAACGCUGGCGGCAGGCCUAACACAUGCAAGUCGAGCGGUAACAGGGGUAGCUUGCUACCCGCUGACGAGCGGCGGACGGGUGAGUAAUGCAUAGGAAUCUGCCCGAUAGUGGGGGAUAACCUGGGGAAACCCAGGCUAAUACCGCAUACGUCCUACGGGAGAAAGGGGGCUCCGGCUCCCGCUAUUGGAUGAGCCUAUGUCGGAUUAGCUAGUUGGUGAGGUAAAGGCUCACCAAGGCGACGAUCCGUAGCUGGUCUGAGAGGAUGAUCAGCCACAUCGGGACUGAGACACGGCCCGAACUCCUACGGGAGGCAGCAGUGGGGAAUAUUGGACAAUGGGCGAAAGCCUGAUCCAGCCAUGCCGCGUGUGUGAAGAAGGCCCUCGGGUUGUAAAGCACUUUCAGCGAGGAAGAACGCCUAGUGGUUAAUACCCAUUAGGAAAGACAUCACUCGCAGAAGAAGCACCGGCUAACUCCGUGCCAGCAGCCGCGGUAAUACGGAGGGUGCAAGCGUUAAUCGGAAUUACUGGGCGUAAAGCGCGCGUAGGUGGCUUGAUAAGCCGGUUGUGAAAGCCCCGGGCUCAACCUGGGAACGGCAUCCGGAACUGUCAAGCUAGAGUGCAGGAGAGGAAGGUAGAAUUCCCGGUGUAGCGGUGAAAUGCGUAGAGAUCGGGAGGAAUACCAGUGGCGAAGGCGGCCUUCUGGACUGACACUGACACUGAGGUGCGAAAGCGUGGGUAGCAAACAGGAUUAGAUACCCUGGUAGUCCACGCCGUAAACGAUGUCGACCAGCCGUUGGGUGCCUAGCGCACUUUGUGGCGAAGUUAACGCGAUAAGUCGACCGCCUGGGGAGUACGGCCGCAAGGUUAAAACUCAAAUGAAUUGACGGGGGCCCGCACAAGCGGUGGAGCAUGUGGUUUAAUUCGAUGCAACGCGAAGAACCUUACCUACUCUUGACAUCCUGCGAACUUGUGAGAGAUCACUUGGUGCCUUCGGGAACGCAGAGACAGGUGCUGCAUGGCUGUCGUCAGCUCGUGUUGUGAAAUGUUGGGUUAAGUCCCGUAACGAGCGCAACCCUUGUCCUUAUUUGCCAGCGCGUAAUGGCGGGAACUCUAAGGAGACUGCCGGUGACAAACCGGAGGAAGGUGGGGACGACGUCAAGUCAU
rnacentral:rRNA from 1 species